rnacentral:tRNA from 1 species
GGAGAGGUGCCGGAGUGGCCGAACGGGCUUGACUCGAAAUCAAGAGAAGGCGUAAGCCUUCCGUGGGUUCGAAUCCCACCCUCUCCGCCA